GGUGGAUGACUUAUGGACAGAAGUAACAAAGUUGCCAACCCCUCCUUGGCGCCUUCUUGCGGUUCUCGAAGAUCGAGCUUUCCACCAUCAGCCCAGCACCCAGGCCAGCAUCAGAAGCGACCUUUUGUGGUGCUUUCUGGUUUCCGCUUCACGGAUCUCAACACUGCUGCUUCCCUCAGAUGCACAGGAACACCCUAAGCACGCUAUCAUCAUCAGAUUUUGUUGUUCUUUCUCCCAGAAGAGCUUGCUUCUUCACAACCUAGAAUUAGUUCUGAUUCUCUCGUUGCUUUGGGAAAACAGGUGGAGGGUGGGGACAUCGCCGUGGAAUGUCAGAAAUGAAGGACCACAAUUCCCAUUUUUGAGUGCCACUGUAGUCUCUCUCUUCCUCUGGAUGUCACCUGAACGUCCUCGCACCCCGGUCUUCAUCCCUUGUGUAAUCUCUUCGUGUAUUGAGUAGAGUUGACCUAGUACAGGGUAAAAUGGGGGGACAGCGUGUGACCGCUGAGGCCGGCAGCGUGGGAGGCGUCAGUGUAGACUCCACGGCCGCCGCGCACUGAGGCCAGCCGGUGGCACCUGUUGGCCGAGACUGCGGCGGCCCUGUAAGGAGGCCCAGGCGGAAAGGGACAAGGCCUCUCCGCAGACCAGCCCCAUCUCACUAGCCCUGCGAUUGCGCCACCUGGGAAGUAGAUCCCCCGGUUCCGGUGGAGCCUUCCGCUGAUUCUGGCCCUGACGAACGCCUUGACUGCAACCACAUGAGCAGACCUUGAACUGAGUUGGCCGGAGAAGUUUCUCCUCAGUUCUUGUCCCACAGAAACUAUGACGUGAUCCUCUACAGAGAAGACCAAAAAAUUCCACCAAAAGAUUGUUAAAAGUAACAAGCAAAUUUGCAACACAGAAGGAUACAAACUCAACACACAAAAGAAACAGCGUUCCUGAAUACCAAUAAUCAACUCACUGAGAGAGAAAUUAGGAAAAACAAUACCAUUCACAAUAGCACCAAGAAAAAUUAAAUGCUUAGGAAUUAACCCAACCAAGGAAGUGAAAGACCCGUGUAAUAAAACUACAGUACUGUGAAAAAGGAGAUCAAAGAGGACAUCAGAAAAUGGAAAGAUAUCCCCUAUUCCUGGAUAGGCAGAAACAACAAAAAAACUGAUACACAGAGGCGCAUUAUGUACUUC
ensembl:lncRNA